AGCCUAAAAUAAAAUAUAUUAUAGGCACUGUUUUUUUGUGUACGGUGUCCAGAAAUUUGUUAGUGUGGCUACAUUGAGACACAGGUUAUGCUUCCAUCACAGUAAUCUUAUUACAGUGGUGACAAUGAGACCUGUAACAUUU
rnacentral:snoRNA from 1 species